UACGAAGGGGGCUAGCGUUGCUCGGAAUCACUGGGCGUAAAGCGCACGUAGGCGGCUUUUUAAGUCGGUGGUGAAAUCCUGGAGCUCAACUCCAGAACUGCCUCCGAUACUGAAAGGCUUGAGUCCGGGAGAGGUGAGUGGAACUGCGAGUGUAGAGGUGAAAUUCGUAGAUAUUCGCAAGAACACCAGUGGCGAAGGCG
rnacentral:rRNA from 1 species